GGGGGUAUAGCUCAGUUGGUUAGAGCGCCUGAUUGACAUUCAGGAGGUCGAUGGUUCAAGUCCAUCUACUCCCACCA
rnacentral:tRNA from 2 species